rnacentral:rRNA from 1 species
GAUGAACGCUAGCGGCGGGCCUAAUACAUGCAAGUCGAACGGUGCAGCAAUGCAUAGUGGCAGACGGGUGCGUAACGCGUAUGCAACCUACCUUUUAUCGGGGGACAACAUUUCGAAAGAAGUGCUAAUACCGCGUAAGAUAGUAGUGGGACAUCCCACAGCUAUUAAACUUUCGGGGAUAGAAGAUGGGCAUGCGUCUGAUUAGCUAGUUGGCGGGGUAACGGCCCACCAAGGCGACGAUCAGUAGGGGAACUGAGAGGUUGAUCCCCCACACUGGCACUGAGAUACGGGCCAGACUCCUACGGGAGGCAGCAGUAGGGAAUAUUGGGGCAAUGGACGGAAGUCUGACCCAGCCACGCCGCGUGCAGGAGGAAGGCGCUCUGCGUUGUAAACUGCUUUAGCAGGGGAAGAAAAGACUCAUGCGUGAGGAAUUGACGGUACCCUGAGAAUAAGCACCGGCUAACUACGUGCCAGCAGCCGCGGU